UCUGUGCUUUCUGAAUCAGCAUUGGAGUGUGCAGUGUUGCCGUGGUGCCUCGUGCCCUGGGCCUGACAGGAGGUCCUUGUAAAGAUCAUGCUCCCCUAAAGGGAAUUAGGAGUCCCAGAAUGCAACUUCUCUAUGGUUCCUCAUUCACCGACUAUGUUCCUCAGCUGUCAGGCGUCGAAACUGAGUCGGACAAGCCUGUCACAUGGUCACUCAUCGCCAAACGGCAGCACCUGACAAGCCAUGGGUCAUUGAGGAGCCGAAUGAUGUAGAUGGAAUCACAGAUCGGAGCUAAUGAUGGAAGCAGCCCUCAUAAAGCCAGAUGUGAGGAGAGUGCACAAGACAUGCUAACGAUGAAGGGUACCCAGGAGCAGGAACUGACUGGAUUCUAGAAUUCCCAUGAGUAAGAUGCAGCAAGAUAAGACUUUCGGUGCAAUAAAAGAAUGAAAAAGAAUUCCUGAGGCAAAGCUCACUGCAUCAUCUCUGAGUUUGGCAAAUCAAAAGGUCCAGCUCUCUAUGAGGCUAGAUUCCCCCAGGCUCCAGAUUAGUUUGGGAAACGUUCUUAAAGAGUGAGAAUGGUUUCCGUUAUGGCCUCCACUGCUUGCCCCCUCCCCUUUUCCCACUUAGGAUGGAGCCCUCUUCAUGGAGGCCUCACAUAAAGCCAACAGCUGUGAGGAAGACGUUCUGAGGACACUCUUCUUUCACCCUGUCCAGGGCCCGACGUAAGGGGUACAGAACAUCUCAGUCCCAAGUAGGUGAUCCUUCUUAAACCCUUCUCUUGAGGAGCACAUAUGAUCCUCAGGUGGGCUGAAUGACUCACACAAGCACCGUGGAACAAAAGUAGCCCCUCAGGGAGCUGGGACUUGGAUACCACCUGACUUGGAUCAUUAUAGACAAGCGUAGACGGUAGCAGCACCUUGUGGGCAUUUAUCAGGAUCUUCUAAACCAAAGAGAGACCAUGUUUAGCUGAGUGGAAAUUGAAGUUGACUACGGUAUGAGUCGCUGUUCUACUGCUAUAGGGAGACAUCAUGACCAAGGCGAUUCUUAUACAAGAGAGCAUUUAAUUGAGGGCUGGCUUACAGUUUCAUGGGGUUAGUCCAUUAUCAUCACAGUGGGCAGCAUGGUAGACAUGGUGCUGGAGAAGAUCUAUAUCCUGAUCUGCAGGGGUGGGGGAGAGAAGGAGAGCGAGAGAGUGAGAGAGCAUGAGAGGGAGAGGGAGUGUGUCUGUGUGUGUGUGUGUGUGUGUGUGUGUGUGUGUGAGAGAGAGAGAGAGAGAGAGAGAGAGAGAGAGAGAGAGAGAGAGAGAGAGAACAGAGCCCACCACCAGCAACACACACCUCCUCCAACAAGGACACAUCUCCUAAUCCUUCCCAACAGCUCAUCAGCUGGGGACUAAGCAUGCAACUUUAUGAGCCCAUGGGCGGAACAUUCUCAUCCAAGCCACCACAGCUACUGACACUCCCCUAAGUAGAAAUUUGAACCUGACCAUGAAUUAAAGGAUUUUAUAGGCAGAGAGGUACCAUGAGAAAGUCUCAUUCCAAAGUCAACAUGCUGGCCAAGCAGUGGGUGUGCUGCUUCUCGGCUUUGCCUGCGGCUUCAGAUCUCAGGGUGCAUUAUGACUUCCAUCCUGGUUCUUUGCAAACUUGGAAACAUAGCAUCCUGCAGCAGAGCUAGGUCCAGGUGUCAGGUCAAAGGGCUAUUUGUUCCCAUGGAAGCUGUACCAACCUAAGAUGAGAUCUCUAAUUUGUUCUCAAUUAGUCAUCCGAAUAAAUGUUCUUCAGCAUCUGAGGACAAGAUAACCUAUGCUAUAGUCAUCUGCCAUCCUCUUCAAGGAAAGACCAGGGCCACUGAAGGCAGUUUAUUACGAAUAUCACCAUCUGGGAGUAUUUGGAUAAAAUCAUUUUCUAACGUAGGUGUCCUUUGCC